AAUUACUUACCUGAGCUAGCUUAGAAGAUGAACACAUGCUUCUGGUGUGCGAAUUCAUGCCCAGAGGAAGUUUGGAAAAUCAUCUAUUCAGAAAGGAGUGCUUAUUUCCAACCACUAUCAUAGAAUCUCUGAAUGAAGGUUACUCUCGAGGCAGCUAAUAUAAAGGACUGACAUAUCUCCACAGCGCAGAAGCUAAAAUUAUAUAUCAGGAUUUCAAAUCAUCUAACAUUUUGCUUGCUGCUAAUUACAAUGCAAAGUUGAGCAAAUCAAGAGUAAAAUGGGUACCUUCUGUUAUGCUGCUCCCGAGUAUAUGACCACUGAUUCAUUGUCCCAGGAAAAAUGAAGAAUAAGGGGAAGCGAUUUUGGCUAAAGGGUACCAACAGGACAAGCUUUGCGGAGAGUUUAAUGGGAAGACAUUUGAAUGGAUGAAAGUUCCUUUGCAUCAACUAUAGAAGAUAUAUUUAGUUUUUGAGCUCCUGUUAUUUAACUGGAACUACAAUGAUGGUAAAAUUUAUUUUAU